rnacentral:rRNA from 1 species
GACGAACGCUGGCGGCGUGCUUAACACAUGCAAGUCGAACGAAGUGGCGAACGGGUGAGUAACGCGUAAUCAACCUGCCCUUCAGAGGGGGCCAACAGUUGGAAACGACUGCUAAUACCGCCUACUUCAGGAGGGGAUUGCGUCUGAUUAGCUAGGUGGCGGGGUAACGGCCCACCAAGGCGAUUAUCAGUAGCCGGUCUGAGAGGAUGACCGGCCAAAUUGGGACUGAGACACGGCCCAGACUCCUACGGGAGGGAGCAGUGGGGAAUCUUCCGCAAUGGACGAAAGUCUGACGGAGCAACGCCGCGUGAGUGAUGACGGCCUUCGGGUUGUAAAGCUCUGUUAAUCGGGACGCGGUACCGGAAUAGAAAGCCACGGCUAACUACGUGCCAGCAGCCGCGGUAAUAC